GGCAACUCAUGUGGAAGGAUCGGUGAGGCCUUCGGACUGGCCCAGGGAGGUCGGCAACGACCACCCAGGGCCGGAAAGUUGGUCAAACCCGGUCAUUUAGAGGAAGUAAAAGUCGUAACAAGGUCUCCGUAGGUGAACCUGCGGAGGGAUCAUUACAAGUGACCCCGGUCUAACCACCGGGAUGUUCAUAACCCUUUGUUGUCCGACUCUGUUGCCUCCGGGGCGACCCUGCCUUCGGGCGGGGGCUCCGGGUGGACACUUCAAACUCUUGCGUAACUUUGCAGUCUGAGUAAACUUAAUUAAUAAAUUAAAACUUUUAACAACGGAUCUCUUGGUUCUGGCAUCGAUGAAGAACGCAGCGAAAUGCGAUAAGUAAUGUGAAUUGCAGAAUUCAGUGAAUCAUCGAAUCUUUGAACGCACAUUGCGCCCCCUGGUAUUCCGGGGGGCAUGCCUGUUCGAGCGUCAUUUCACCACUCAAGCCUCGCUUGGUAUUGGGCAACGCGGUCCGCCGCGUGCCUCAAAUCGACCGGCUGGGUCUUCUGUCCCCUAAGCGUUGUGGAAACUAUUCGCUAAAGGGUGUUCGGGAGGCUACGCCGUAAAACAACCCCAUUUCUAAGGUUGACCUCGGAUCAGGUAGGGAUACCCGCUGAACUUAAGCAUAUCAAUAAGCGGAGGAAAAGAAACCAACAGGGAUUGCUCUAGUAACGGCGAGUGAAGCAGCAAUAGCUCAAAUUUGAAAUCUGGCGUCUUCGACGUCCGAGUUGUAAUUUGUAGAGGAUGCUUCUGAGUAACCACCGACCUAAGUUCCUUGGAACAGGACGUCAUAGAGGGUGAGAAUCCCGUAUGCGGUCGGAAAGGUGCUCUACACGUAGCUCCUUCGACGAGUCGAUGUGGGGGGAAGGAAGUACGCACAG
rnacentral:rRNA from 1 species